CGGUAGCUAAAUGCGGAAGAGAUAAGUGCUGAAAGCAUCUAAGCACGAAACUUGCCCCGAGAUGAGUUCUCCCUGACCCUUUAAGGGUCCUGAAGGAACGUUGAAGACGACGACGUUGAUAGGCCGGGUGUGUAAGCGCAGCGAUGCGUUGAGCUAACCGGUACUAAUGAACCGUGAGGCUUAACCUUACAACGCCGAAGGUGUUU
rnacentral:rRNA from 2 species